rnacentral:rRNA from 1 species
UGGGGAAUAUUGCACAAUGGGCGCAAGCCUGAUGCAGCCAUGCCGCGUGUAUGAAGAAGGCCUUCGGGUUGUAAAGUACUUUCAGCGAGGAGGAGGUGUGUGUUAAUAACCACAGCAAUUGACGUUACUCGCAGAAGAAGCACCGGCUAACUCCGUGCCAGCAGCCGCGGUAAUACGGAGGGUGCAAGCGUUAAUCGGAAUUACUGGGCGUAAAGCGCACGCAGGCGGUCUGUCAAGUCGGAUGUGAAAUCCCCGGGCUCAACCUGGGAACUGCAUCCGAAACUGGCAGGCUAGAGUCUUGUAGAGGG